rnacentral:rRNA from 1 species
AUUGAACGCUGGCGGCAGGCCUAACACAUGCAAGUCGAACGAGUGGCGGACGGGUGAGUAAUGUCUGGGAAACUGCCUGAUGGAGGGGGAUAACUACUGGAAACGGUAGCUAAUACCGCAUACCAUCGGAUGAGCCCAGAUGGGAUUAGCUAGUAGGUGGGGUAAAGGCUCACCUAGGCGACGAUCCCUAGCUGGUCUGAGAGGAUGACCCAGCCACCGGGGACCGGGACCAGGGCCCAACUCCUACGGGGAGGCGGCGUGGGGAAUAUUGCACAAUGGGCGCAAGCCUGAUGCAGCCAUGCCGCGUGUAUGAAGAAGGCCUUCGGGUUGUAAAGUACUUUCAGCGGGGAGGCGUUACCCGCAGAAGAAGCACCGGCUAACUCCGUGCCAGCAGCCGCGGUAAUAC